AUGCCCUCCUCAUCCCCCAGGGCCAGUGCCUGCUCUCCUCCUUGCCCCCCAGAGCCUCCGCCUACUCCCUAUGCUGCCCACCAAGGCCAAAGCCCACUGCUCUCAGCACCUUGUAGGACUGGACCUGCUCCACUCCUAGGUCUCCAGGGAUUGCACUCCACUCCCCACGCUGCCCUCCAGGGCCCGGCCCCACUCCCCUCAACACCCUCCAGGGCCAGGACCAGCUCCCCUCCUCACCCUCCAGGGCCUGGGCUCCGCUCCCCAUGCUGCCCUCCAGGGCCAAAACCCACUCCACACACUGACCUCCAGGGCCGGCCCCACUACCCUCAACGCCCUCCAGGGUUGGACCCUGCUCCACUCUUCGCCCUCCAGGGCCGGGCUCGGCUCCCCACCUUACCUUCCAGGGCCUGCCCCGCACUGCUCAAAGCCGUCCAGAGCAGGACCCCACUCACCACCUCAUCCCCCGUGGCCUGGGCCACACUCCACUCCUCACCCUCCAGGUCUGGACCCAUUCCCAUGGCAGCCCUCCAGGGUCGUGCCCCACUUCCCUCAACACUCUAUAGGGCCGGACCCUGUUCCCCUCCUCGAGCUCCAGGGCCAGGCCCCACUCCCCACACUGUCCUCCAGGGACAGGCCCCUAUACCCUCAACGCCCUCCAGGGCUGGUCCCUGUUCCCCUUCUCGCCCCCCCAGGGCCAGGCCCUGCUCCCCUCCUGGCCUCCAGGGCCAGGUUCCCACACCCACACCCACACCCCUGCUCACCCUCGUGGACAAGGGCCCCACUCCAAUCCUCGCCCUCCAAGGCCGGGCUCUGCUCCCCUCCUCACCCUCCAGGGCCUGGGCCCUGCCACCCCACGCUACUAUCCAGGGCCGGGCCCCACUACCCUCAAGGCAUUCCAGGGCCGGACACUGCUCCCCUCCUCACCCUCCAGGGCCUGGGCCCUGCCGCCCCACGCUACUAUCCAGGGCCGGGCCCCACUACUCUCAAGGCCCUCCCGGCCUGGACACUGCUGUCCUCCUCACCCUCCAGGGCCUGGACCCACUCACCUCACCCCCCUCCAGGGCCAGACCCUGCUCCCCUCCUGGCCGUUCAGGGCCUGGUCCCCGCACCCCUCCUCGCCCUCCAGGGCCUGGGCCCUGCUCUUUUCAAUGCCCUCCAGGUCCAGACCCAGUGCCCUCAACGCGCUAUAGGGCCACACCCUGA
rnacentral:lncRNA from 1 species